rnacentral:lncRNA from 1 species
GUCUCCCUGUGCGUUUCCUUUCAGAGAUUUCCCGUUUUCAGUGCAUGGCAGGGAGCGGGAACGACGCUACGAGGGGAUUGAGGGCCGACUCGCCGGGAGGUCUGCCGAAACCGCAGGAAAGGCUGCAGCCCCAGAUUCUCUCUCCCUGCCUGCCUCCCUCUCCUACCUGGGAGUAAGCUCCAGUAGGCACAGCGGAGCGAACGUCUGAGUAGGUUUGCGGCAGUGCAUUCCUAUUCACAUUUCUACAAAAAGAAACGCUGCUGGAUUCAGAAAGAGUUUCUUCUAAGUUUGUGUGCAGAGGUAGACAACAGCCCUAACAUUCAUCUAUGGAUCCACAGCAGCUUUUUAAGACUCUGCCCAAGGUGCAGAAAUUUGUCCUCUUUGCCUGGGUCAGAGAACCAUGGGGUGACCAUAGCAUCGGGAAAGAAACAAUGGGAGGAAGGAGUCAACCCCACUGAAGGAAAAUGAAGAGAACAAGGAUGGAUGGAUAACAACAAACAUAGUUGCUGGCGAUUUACCAGAUUUUAGAACUGAUUCCUGAGGUUUUUUUUAAAGGCCUGGAAUGCUAUUGGGGUUCGAAUAAGCUUUGCAUAACCUGCUGCAGAUAAUUAACAAGGUGCUGGACACAUCUUGGUUGCUCAAUCAAGUAUGUGACCAAUCAUGUAACCAAGACCCACUCUGGAUUAUGUAGAAGGACCACAUGCAUUCUUCGUUAUUGUUGUUAAUUCUUGGUGGUUUGUUACUGAGACAUACCUUGAGUUUACGAACAGUUAAUUAAAUUGCUAAGCCUUUCCCACUUGUUUUCCCAUCUCUAGGAAAUGCACCUGGAAUGAAUUGUUUGAGCCAGAGGCUGUUUGAAUGCAUUGUAUUCUAAACCACCAAGUUUCCUCCCUGACACAAAUGAUGUACUGUGCAAAGUAGACAGGAAUACUGCCUAUCUCCAGAACAUAUCUAUAUAUUAGGAUAAAUGUAGGCAUCCUUCACUCGUGAGAGAUUAUGGUAACGUGCUGUGUAUGGCGGUCUUGGAACAGCGUUUAGUGUGGCUGAGAAAACCAAUUUGAGAGUGACAAUCCCUCCACACUGAAGACAAAUAGAAUCUGUCCCCUGUCCAGCUCCCUGGUUUUGCUGGUUUCGGGACUGCCUCUUUGCCUCAG